rnacentral:rRNA from 1 species
AUUGAACACUGGCGGAAUGCUUUACACAUGCAAGUCGAACGGCAGCACGGGGCAACCUGGUGGCGAGUGGCGAACGGGUGAGUAAUACAUCGGAACGUGCCCAAUCGUGGGGGAUAACGUAGCGAAAGUUACGCUAAUACCGCAUACGAUCUACGGAUGAAAGCGGGGGAUCGCAAGACCUCGCGCGAAUGGAGCGGCCGUUGUCAGAUUAGGUAGUUGGUGGGGUAAAGGCUCACCAAGCCAACGAUCUGUAGCUGGUCUGAGAGGACGAACAGCCACACUGGGACUGAGACACGGCCCAGACUCCUACUGGAGGCAGCAGUGGGGAAUUUUGGACAAUGGGCGCCAGCCUGAUCCAGCCAUUCCGCGUGCAGGAUGAAGGCCUUCGGGUUGUAAACUGCUUUUGUACGGAACGAAACGGUUCUCUCUAAUACAGGGGGCUAAUGACGGUACCGUAAGAAUAAGCACCGGCUAACUACGUGCCAGCCGCCGCAGUAAGAC